UUCACCAGUAGAACCCUUGCCGUAAAAGUUUGAAUCAAACCCCUCCCAAAGUAACGAUUUUCGUGGGAUCUUGUUCAUCUUCGUCAGCUUCGCGGGAUCUUCGUGGGAUCUUGUUCAUCUUCGUCGGAUCUUCGACAGUCGUUGGAUCUUCGUCAUCAUCGCCUGAUCGUCGUUGGAUCUUCAUCGGAACUUCGUCUUCUUCGUACGAGCUUCGUCGGAUCUGAAUCUUCUUCGUAAGAUCUGAAUUUUCUUCGUCGGCUCAUCAUCAUCUUCGUGGGAUUUUUGUCGGACUUUAAUCAGUGAGUAGGGGGUUUCUUCGUUGGGUCUUCAUCAUCUGCAAUCCUUUUUAUUACUGAGCUUCCUUUUUAUUUCUGGUUCUAAUGGCGAAGCUAAAAUCAUCAAUGGAGGAAACAAACGAAGCAUAAUCAAUUUGUAUUAAUGGGGUUGAACAUUUAGUAUCAUCAUCACCCUGUUUUCCUGGAAACUAUAGAAGAUGUUAGUUUAGGGACUGAGGGUGAGGAACACUAAUUUUCUCUUUGGCAGCAUGCUUUGAUCUGCAGGUCCCUUAUGAUUGAUUGAAUAUACUUUAUUUUGGUUUAAGUUCAUGGAUUUUGGGAUGGGUAGGCUUCUGCUCUCCUGGAAAUUUCACAGGUUUUCUGCUAAUUAAUUUGAUAGAUCAUUGCAGAGCUCUUUAGGUGAAUUACUCUUCAAAAUAUAUGAUAUUCUUUCAUUAUUGAUUGUUGUAGAUGAACAAUUUGUAGACAGAAACUUUAUUAAUGAACAAAAAAAAAAAAAAAAAAAAAAAAA